AGCAAGUUGGUCAGAGAACCAGGAUCACAGCUCGAUCCGCCAUAAGCCUCUGUGCCCAGAGGGCGUGUCCUGUGUCCCAGGGCUUCUUCGGCACUGCUGCUCUCAGAUCCUGCUGUCCUGGAUCCUUCCUGUUUGAGGAGAGCAGCACAUGGAAGACAAACCCAGCACUCACUUCUGCUGAAGCUGAUUGGGUCACAGAAUCUUCUCUGUCGUUUCUCAAGGGUCCCUCUUCAAUUACAGGAGUUGUUGAAAAGGACAACAGGAGUAAACCAUCACAGUGAUUUACAAAAGCUAACGCAAUUUUCGUCCUGAAACAUGAACAGAAGUGUUACAAGAUACAGAAAAAGCUGCCCCACCUUGCCCCCAUAUCAUCAUUGUCUUACUAAUAAAAGCUGUGACCAGGG
rnacentral:lncRNA from 1 species